rnacentral:rRNA from 1 species
UACGUAGGGUGCAAGCGUUAAUCGGAAUUACUGGGCGUAAAGCGUGCGCAGGCGGUUAUGCAAGACAGAGGUGAAAUCCCCGGGCUCAACCUGGGAACUGCCUUUGUGACUGCAUAGCUAGAGUACGGUAGAGGGGGAUGGAAUUCCGCGUGUAGCAGUGAAAUGCGUAGAUAUGCGGAGGAACACCGAUGGCGAAGGCAAUCCCCCUGGACCUGUACUGACGCUCAUGCACGAAAGCGUGGGGAGCAAACAGG